rnacentral:rRNA from 1 species
CACGUAGGGUGCGAGCGUUGUCCGGAAUUAUUGGCGUAAAGAGCUCGUAGGCGGUGUGUCGCGUCGGCCCGUGAAAACCUGCAGCUUAACUGUGGGCUUGCGGUCGAUACGGGCAUCACUUGGAGUUCGGCAGGGGGAGAACUGGAAUUCCUGGUGUAGCGGUGAAAUGCGCAGAUAUCAGGAGGAACACCGGUUGGCGAAGGCGGGUCUCUGGGCCGAUACUGACGUGG